rfam:Stegodyphus mimosarum contig113472, whole genome shotgun sequence.
GCCUUCGUGGUGUAGUGGUCAGCACGCUCGACGCAUAUUUGAGAGGUCUGUGGUUCGAGUCCCGGCGAAAGCA